GGGAUGAGAGGGAGGAUGCGGGGUGGAUCCCCGCAGGCUGCCCGCACAUCUUGCCGUGGCCCUAGUGACAAACCCCUCGGUGCCCCCCGUGAGGACGGUGCAGGGGGGGCCUGAGGGCCUGUGGGGGAGGGAGUUAAAAGCCUCCUCCUCGCUGCUGACCCACCCACAAGCGAACGCACCCUUGAAGGGAGCUCCGUCUGGGAGGGGAUCCGGUGGUGGCUCAUCUCUUCCCCAGACUCCCAGCUACCAUCUCUCUGCAAAAUGGAGGCAGCGCUGUGGGAACUGCCGAACCUGCUGCCAAAGCUACAGGCAUCUCUUGUUGUGAAGUCAAGCAAUGACAAACUGCAGAGACUGAAAUUCUCUGGGAAGAAAACUUCAUGUAUUUGAGGAAGUGCUAAGCAUCGUGAUGAUAAUUAGUGAUUGUUGAAGGCAUAAUUGGAAUAUCAUUGGAAGCAGAUGAGUGUGAAUGAUGAGUUAUUAGUCACCACAUGACACCACAUACACUUUGAAUGAAUAGAAAAUAAGCAGCUCAAGCAGUGUUGCACUCAAGAUUUGCAGAUUUUUGGCAGCCUGGAUGUGGAAGUCCUGAAGGGAAGGGAAAGUAUGGCAAGUGCAUGGAGCUGUCACAGGGCAGUCACACAGCGAUGAGAUCCCAAGCCCACUUCUGUUUAUUAUCUCUCUGGCUGUCAAGAACAGCUUGGGCUGUUUGGAGCUUUCUGAAGAGGAAACCUGUUAGCAUCAAAAUCCAAUAAAAGCAAGAAAAAAAAUCUCAGCAGUGAUGAAGUAAGGUGAUACCAUUUGGAAUGACAAUGUCCAAGAGGUACUCAUCUAUUCCUCAUGGAAGAAGGGGUACUCCUUUUUGUGCACAUCUCUGAAUACAAGGCCAUUCUCCAGACAAUUGGGAAUACCCAGCUUUAAGCCAAUUUGUCCAUGUGCUUUUGUUGUGAAGAGGAGAAAGGACAGCAAGCUACAAGUGACAACUUACUGGUUUGAACAUGUCUGGGUCAGGAAAAUAUUUUGGAUUCCUGUGCAACC